ACACACCGAAAAUUCAUAGAUCAUGCAUGCUAAUGAGAUAGGGAUUUUCGACCAAUCACAUCAUUCACUAUAUAUUCAGCGCCUUAUCUGCAUCACAAACAAAAAAAAAAAUACCGCGGAGGAAUGUGAUUGACGAUGAAUAUUUAACAAUGGUUUAAAGGUGUGUGUGUCACUCUGUGUGUGUGUGUGGGGGGGGGGGGGUACUGGGGACGAAAUAUACCCCAAGAAGUUAACUGGUUAUCAAUUCAUUCCGUUACCGCAGCCUUAUAAGGGUAAAGAAAAGUGCUUGAAGUGGAUCAAAGCCUGUGGCUGGCCCCAUCAACAACUAAAUGCCGACAAAGUAGAUGAAAAUAGAAACAAAGUUGUGUGCAAUAAAGUGAGUUUUCUGUUUUCUACCAAAAUGAAGAAAAGGAACGACUGGGACCAAUUUACACUGAAUUUUCUAACUGUAUUUGAGCAAGUGGCAGGAAAUCUCACCGCACGCUAUAUAUCAUUCAAACCUGGACUCAUUGCGUCACCUGAUAGACUAUAUAAUUCUAAAGAAUUAUCUGUAUAAAGAAAAACAUGGGCUACUUUCUACUUUCUAACCCUUCAUCACGGACAUCUACACUAAAUUGCCGUAGGAGUUGGUUGUACUUUGCGCGAUUGAAUCCUGCGUAGAAAUGAUUGUAUCCAAAUGACGGUCAUGGUGUGGUGGUGCCCUUUGACUUCUGUAAUAUGAUGUGUAUUUCCUUACCACCUUGAAAUCUACGAGCAGAAACAUGAAACAAUUCAAGUAUCAAUUAAAAUACUAGACAAUAUUGCACAAA